GCAGAUUCCAGCUCACACAGAUGAAUACUGUCUAUGUGUCCGAGGAAAGUCACUUAACCCACCUUGCUAUAUACAAAUAUGACCAUUAUUCAUACUGAUGGAAUAAUAUGUAAGCAGCAGGACACUUCAAACCCCACUCACCUUUGAAGAUGAUAGUGCCAGCCAUAAAGAUAUUUGAUGCUAGCCACACCUUUUCUGGGCAGGUCAGAAAGGGCUUUCACAGAUGGUUCACAUGAGUUUGGACUGGCCUGGAGAGCGUUGCUUAGACAAGUUCCUAAAUGUGACACUUCCCACUGAAAGACAAUAUGGCAGCAGCAAGACCUGUUCCAAUGAAACGAAGCAUCAGUCUUCCAUCACACA
ensembl:lncRNA